rnacentral:lncRNA from 13 species
GAGAUGGCGCUGUGGAACAAGAUGAAACGUCUUUGAACAAGCAAACACUGGAGAGCCAGUGGUCGAGAACGCAAAAUGUGGUCGAGCGAGCAGAGGACGGUUUCCUUCGAGCGCACAGGCAGCGGGAGCGCGCACAUUGAACACGUUGCAGGUGUGACUGAGGGAGCACAACAUCAUUGCCACACGCAAACUAUUAAAUUCGAGGGCAGAGAUUUUUGUUUUGCAGAGAUACUUAAUACACGUCAAGACUUAGAAGUUACUGCGCUCUAAUAAAUACAUCGCAUCCAAACAUUGAUUUCUCUAGACAACAAAAAAAAACGAAUCUUGCUCUUGCAACUGCAAUCUUUAACUAUAAUUUUAUUACUGGUUAAAAUUCUAGCCAAUGAGCAUGGUUGUCAUUAGUGAACACAGCCACAAAUGAAUCAUUAUUAUGGCUAAACCCAGUUUAUUUCAAAAAUGUAUAUUUUUUUAAUCUGAUUUUAAACACAACCCUAACAACACUGGUAACCUUAUGCCUAACCCUAACGUUUAAUCAAGACCAAAAAGCUAAAUGUAUUUUUAUUUUUUUAAAUUUACCAUAAAGCCAAUUUUUACUUUGUGGUUGUGUUAUCUAGUGGAAACCGGAUUUUAACGGUGAAAGGCAAGGGGAUGGUGAAGUAGGAACGAUGUUUGACAAUAAGAAGUUACCAGACCAGUGGGAGGAGGUGUUGACAGUGAUUCGUUCCAGUGUGAUCCUCAAGCUUUCGCUGUGCCAACCCCAUGCCUGGCGACAACCAGAUGAUAUUCCUCCACCCUGGAUCACAGUGGACACACUCCUAAUCUCUCUGUGUAUGUUUGUUGCACAUGAGAGCGUGUGUAAUGGGUCUAUAUAUAUAUGCAAAUUUGUGUGUAGUGGAGGAUAUAUACAUUUAUGUAUAUGAGUCUAUUCAGUAUGUUUACCCCCUGUAUUAAAGACCUCACUUUGCUUGUGUGUGAUUUAGUGCAGUGUUUUGUGACCACUCUCUCUCUCACACUCACACACAUCUCAGAUAUGUGGUGCUCCCCAGACCUGUGUUUCGAGGCCGGGAUGGACUAGACCAGGGCUUCCAAACCCUCUUCCUGGAGUUCUACUAUUCUGUAGGUUUUCAGUCCAACCCUAAUUUAGCGUAUCUGAUUCAGCUAGUAAAGGUCUUGUUGAGCAGCUUAUUAGUAGAAUCAGGCGUGUUAAAUUAGGGUCGGACUGAAAACCCACAGGGCUAUAGAUCUCCAGGAAGAGGGUUGGACAGCCCUGGACUAGACUGUUUGUCUGAGCUUGCACCUCUACUCGGCACUCAGCGUUGUCCAGUCCCUGUACACACUCAUCGACUCGGUUAGUUCCCACACACUGUUAAACACCUAGACCCAACUGAGACUUUUGCGUAAAACAUGCAUUGUCAUUUUAAGGUGUGAUUCAGCCCUAGAACUCCAUUUAAUUAGAUCUGUGUCUUUCUGUACUCAAUAGAUUGAGCUGAUGCCCCACUCUAAGAACCCAAGGCCUUAUUUAUAAACGUUGCAUAAAUUUAAAAUCAAAUCACAUUUUUCUUAGCCAUAUGCCCCAAAUACAACAGGUCAGUGAAAUGCUUACUUACGAGCCCUAAACCAACAAUGCAGUUUCAAAAAGUAUGGAUAAUAAUAAGACACAAAAGUAACAAGUAAUUAAAUUAAAUUAGUUAAAGAGCAGCAGUUCUAUAACAAUAGUGAGAUUAUAUACAGGGGCGUACCGGUUAGUUGAGGUAGUAUGUACAUGUAGGUAGAGUUAUUAAAGUGGCUAUGCAUAGAUGACAACACAGUAGCAGUGUUGUAAGGUGGGGGGGGGGGGGGGCCCGGAAAUUGGGGGGGGACGGGGUUGGUUUUUUUUAACCCCAUAACGGUUUUUGGGGGACCAAAAAAAAAGGA